ACAUAUCAAUAAGCGGAGGAAAAGAAACCAACAGGGAUUGCCCUAGUAACGGCGAGUGAAGCGGCAACAGCUCAAAUUUGAAAUCUGGCUUUCGGGUCCGAGUUGUAAUUUGUAGAGGAUGCUUUUGGCGCGGUGCCUUCCGAGUUCCCUGGAACGGGACGCCUUAGAGGGUGAGAGCCCCGUACGGUUGGACACCAAGCCUCUGUAAAGCUCCUUCGACGAGUCGAGUAGUUUGGGAAUGCUGCUCUAAAUGGGAGGUAAAUUUCUUCUAAAGCUAAAUAUUGGCCAGAGACCGAUAGCGCACAAGUAGAGUGAUCGAAAGAUGAAAAGCACUUUGAAAAGAGGGUUAAAUAGCACGUGAAAUUGUUGAAAGGGAAGCGUUUGCGACCAGACCUUUUCUUAGCAGAUCAUCCGGUGUUCUCACCGGUGCACUUUGCUAGGUUUAGGCCAGCAUCGGUUUUCGUAGGGGGAUAAAAGCUUGGGGAAUGUAGCUCCCUCGGGAGUGUUAUAGCCCCUCGCAUAAUACCCUUACGGGGACCGAGGACCGCGCUUUAUGCAAGGAUGCUGGCAUAAUGGUUGUCAACGACCCGUCUUGAAACACGGACCAAGGAGUCGAACAUUUGUGCGAGUGUUAGGGUGUUAAACCCUCACGCGUAAUGAAAGUGAACGGAGGUGAGAGCCCUUACGGGUGCAUCAUCGACCGAUCCUGAUGUCUUCGGAUGGAUUUGAGUAAGAGCAUAACUGUUCGGACCCGAAAGAUGGUGAACUAUGCGUGGAUAGGGUGAAGCCAGAGGAAACUCUGGUGGAGGCUCGCAGCGGUUCUGACGUGCAAAUCGAUCGUCAAAUCUGCGCAUGGGGGCGAAAGACUUAUCGAACCAUCUAGUAGCUGGUUACCGCCGA
rnacentral:rRNA from 1 species